UCAAUCGAUAGCGCAAUGUCAAAAGGUUAAAAACCCAAAAAAUUGUUUAUAAAGUAGAAUAUGUGUAUACUCUUUUGAAGAAAACCUCAGCAAAAAAUGGUUAGGUUUAGGUUUAGAUUCGGCCCUUCCCUAUGUAAUUAAUCUGUCUUAAGGCUAGUUCCAUGGGGAUUAUCAAAUAAGAAUUUUUAAAUCUUCUCUUAUUUCCAAUUCAAGGAUAUACUCAUUAGUUGUACGCUAUUCUAUUCUAGCGAAAGGCACUUGAAGCUGCCAUCAAAAUAUAUUCGAAGGAAAAGUAACGCGCUGAAGCAGGCAUCUUAAAACCAGAAAAUUUUGGCAUACCGUUGCGCAGGCACACUUCAAUUAAAAUCAAAAUGAAUUAAAGUGAAAUUUCAUAAAAACCGAUCCUUAUGAUAGACCAACAGCGUAGUUAUUCAAGAACUCAUUUCUCAUUGCGUGGUCACUCUGCUGACCCACAAUUUUAAUACAGUUUGACUUGGACGCAAGUCAGGGCAUGAUUAUGGAGGUGCCUCAUCUAUGCCAUAUCGCAGACCAAUCGCAAGCUGCUCUUAAUAUGGUCAGUUCCUGGUACUGCCCCUAUAUCUUUUAAAUCAGUUGCAUAAGCCAGGGCUAGAAGUGAGAGUUUGGUAAACACAAAUUUUCUCUAGAUCCGAACAAAUCGUUCUACAUGAUAUUUUAUACUGUUAUAUGCUACUGUUAGCUGCAGUCCCUUUCUCUGUUAACCCACAGGGCUGUGCUGCAGGUAAUCGGAUAGGCCACAAAAGGCGAAAGUCUGCUGGGCGCAUACCAUUUUUUCCACCAUUAGUUUAUUAUUGUUAUAAUUUCUUUAUUGUCAUUAUUAUAUGCGAGCACUUUUUCGAGCUGCUUCAUUUGAGCCAACACAUUCGUAAUUACCAUCAUGCCAGCAGCAAACCAAACACAAACACAAGCACACACAUACACACACACACAAGCACACACAUGCACAGAUAGUUGGAGCUGGAAGCUGCGCAACGUGUUGAUUUCCAGGCAACCGCAAAUCCACUUGGAGCCGGCCCAACGAGGGGCACUGAGAGCCACUUGAAAUUAUGCGGCUGUUAGCUACCAGAUAACGCAUUUGAUUAUGACAACGGGCCAUAACGACAAGCUGAGCUGCAAAAGAGGCAGCACUGGCUAGCUUUGGAAAGUGGCAGCUGGCUGAAACAACUUGGCCAACUUGCCUGCCACGCGGGGGUGCCUGAUGCAUGCCCAGCUGCCACUGCGGCUGCAUCUGCAAAGACAAUCAAAUCACUUUUGGCUGCCUGACACUGAUUCACAUUCAUGUCAAAUGGCCAACGGGUGCACAGCAAAUGAAAUCAGUUUUGGAUGUCCAACAAAAACUAUCCAAGAGCUCCCCACUUGGUUUUGGCGCGCGCGGCGUUUGUUAUGGUCUCUAUUAUUGUAUAUGAUGAUGGAGUGGAGCUGCUAUGGACCAGAAUUCUAUUCACCUUCUUUUGACUGCGGCCGCCUAUUUGUCGUCCACUCUUCUGGCAUUUAUGAAUUUCUCUCGACUUCUGUCGGUCCCGGUCGAGCUAUGUGCGCCACAAAAUGCAUAAACAAUCGAGAAACCAAUUUCAAGUCCGGCAUUGCCCAAAAUACCAAAAAAAAAAGAAUGUUGAAAUCUUUGCCCCCGGAUUUUUCGGGUGUCUUUUUUUUUAUUAUUGUUCUGGGCUGAAAUUGAAGCCAAAGUCGGUGUAAAUAUUGAAACUAUUUGCACAGCGCACAGUGGAAGAAAUACCAGCAACUGAGAAAAAUGUGGCUACGUUUCGCUGCAAGACAAUAUUAAUAAAAAAAAACAUUUGGCUCAAACUAUUGCAAUUUUUGUUUAAUGAAACAAAUCUUA